AAUUCUGAAGCCAUCUAUCUUGGAGUAGGGAAGCCUCUGCCACUGAAUGCAGGUUUUUCAGUGUAAAUCAUGGAGCCAUUGCUACCCCUGAAGGCGAGAGGCUCCCGUAACUGCGCUGCCUGAGUCUGGGCCCGCGGCACAGGACCUGGUGCUGUUGGUUUAUGGUAAAGCAGGAAGGUGGUGCCUCGUGCUGGCAGAUGAUGCUGCGGGCCAGGUUCGUUUGUGUCUUCACUCUCAGAAGCAUGGCUAAUACAGCCUUUUAACUCACAGAUUCCCACCUCAAAUGUUUACAUGACACCACUAAAUAAAAAAUAUGUAAUGAAUGUUAAAUCAUCUGCCUCCAGAUUUUCCUUUUGUUUCCAAUUUUCCCUUCCAUCUGACAUAUGCAAGUGCCUCCCGUGUCCCUUUCACAGAUAUUACAGAUGCCCUCAACUAUUUUUUGUGUUCUUCUGGCCUGCUUUUUCUCAUUGCUGCUGCAACAGACUGAGGGCCAAAAAUAGAAACCUCCUUGACAACUUUGCAGAGGACUUACAUUCCUGAUUCCUAAGGUAGCAACACUGACUCUGUUGGAGCAGGAUGGGAAUUUCAUGACCUGUCACAUAUUUGAUUUUGCCUGAUUUUUACAAGGGAUAAAAGUUUUCCCUGCAUGGUGGUUGAUGCAACUUGCAAUCACCCUUGGAAGUUAGGGUUUGGGACAAAUAGAAGAAUGUCAUCAAACAGAGGAAUGUCACCACUUGUCUUAAGGAUGCUUCCAAAUUCUUGAAAAGGAGACAGAAUGUUUAUGGCAGGGCCCAUGACUCAUAUGUGUUUUCAAGCCAGUGCAUAUUAUGAAGACACAAGACAAGAAUGUGUAUAAACACAUACUCUGCCAUAAUGCUGAUUUCUUUGGAUUAAACUGGGGGAAAAAACAGCAACAGACACUGCCUCAGUCUAGAAUUAUCUGUAAUCCAUAUACAUCAGCACAUGGUUUCCAGUAUUGUGUUAUCAGCCUCAGUACACAGGUGUGGGGAGGCAGUGAAGUGCAGUGGUUGGUGCCAGGCUAUGGAAUCAGACUGCAAGGUCCUGGUCCCCGGUGUCUCUUGGCAUUCCCUACUGCAGAGAGAGAAUAUUCCUUCCUAGACAUUGAGUCAUUGUGC
rnacentral:lncRNA from 10 species